rnacentral:tRNA from 2 species
GGAGGGGUGGGAGAGCGGCCGAAUCCGCCAGUUUGGAAUACUGGUGUACUCUCAAGGUACCGCGAGUUCAAAUCUCGCCCCCUCCGCCA